rnacentral:rRNA from 1 species
UACAAUGGAGAGUUUGAUCCUGGCUCAGGAUGAACGCUAGCGGGAGGCCUAACACAUGCAAGCCGAGCGGUAUUUGUUCUUCGGAACAGAGAGAGCGGCGUACGGGUGCGGAACACGUGUGCAACCUGCCUUUAUCUGGGAGAUAGCCUUUCGAAAGGAAGAUUAAUAUCCCAUAAUAUAUUGAUUGGCAUCAAUUAAUAUUGAAAGCUCCGGCGGAUAAAGAUGGGCACGCGCAAGAUUAGAUAGUUGGUAGGGUAACGGCCUACCAAGUCAGUGAUCUUUAGGGGGCCUGAGAGGGUGAUCCCCCACACUGGUACUGAGACACGGACCAGACUCCUACGGGAGGCAGCAGUGAGGAAUAUUGGACAAUGGGUGCAAGCCUGAUCCAGCCAUCCCGCGUGAAGGACGACGGCCCUAUGGGUUGUAAACUUCUUUUGUAUAGGGAUAAACCUUUCCACGUGUGGAAAGCUGAAGGUACUAUACGAAUAAGCACCGGCUAACUCCGUGCCAGCAGCCGCGGUAAUACGGAGGGUGCAAGCGUUAUCCGGAUUUAUUGGGUUUAAAGGGUCCGUAGGCGGAUCUGUAAGUCAGUGGUGAAAUCUCACAGCUUAACUGUGAAACUGCCAUUGAUACUGCAGGUCUUGAGUAAGGUAGAAGUGGCUGGAAUAAGUAGUGUAGCGGUGAAAUGCAUAGAUAUUACUUAGAACACCAAUUGCGAAGGCAGGUCACUAUGUCUUAACUGACGCUGAUGGACGAAAGCGUGGGGAGCGAACAGGAUUAGAUACCCUGGUAGUCCACGCCGUAAACGAUGCUAACUCGUUUUUGGGUCUUCGGAUUCAGAGACUAAGCGAAAGUGAUAAGUUAGCCACCUGGGGAGUACGUUCGCAAGAAUGAAACUCAAAGGAAUUGACGGGGGCCCGCACAAGCGGUGGAUUAUGUGGUUUAAUUCGAUGAUACGCGAGGAACCUUACCAAGGCUUAAAUGGGAAUUGAUCGGUUUAGAAAUAGACCUUCCUUCGGGCAAUUUUCAAGGUGCUGCAUGGUUGUCGUCAGCUCGUGCCGUGAGGUGUUAGGUUAAGUCCUGCAACGAGCGCAACCCCUGUCACUAGUUGCCAUCAUUCAGUUGGGGACUCUAGUGAGACUGCCUACGCAAGUAGAGAGGAAGGUGGGGAUGACGUCAAAUCAUCACGGCCCUUACGCCUUGGGCCACACACGUAAUACAAUGGCCGGUACAGAGGGCAGCUACACAGCGAUGUGAUGCAAAUCUCGAAAGCCGGUCUCAGUUCGGAUUGGAGUCUGCAACUCGACUCUAUGAAGCUGGAAUCGCUAGUAAUCGCGCAUCAGCCAUGGCGCGGUGAAUACGUUCCCGGGCCUUGUACACACCGCCCGUCAAGCCAUGGAAGUCUGGGGUACCUGAAGUCGGUGACCGUAAAAGGAGCUGCCUAGGGUAAAACAGGUAACUAGGGCUAAGUCGUAACAAGGUAGCCGUACCGGAAGGUGCGGCUGGAACAUCUCAUUUUAGAGCGUCUUCG